ACCAAUUUUUAAAAUUCAUAAAACUUAUUCCAAUUUCCAAUUUCACUACGAUCGAUCGUAGAAUCAAUGGUAGAACGAUACUGUAAUCGAAUCGAAACCAAAAGGGAACAAUAAACACGUUCUCCGUACACGUUCGAUCGAAAGAAACUUUCGUCAAAGUCAAUGGCGUCAAUCUAACGGAGCCAAUCCUUACAAAAGGGAGGAGAGGCAAGUGGUCGUUACACCUCGAAACGAAGCAUCGGUUCAACCAGGAUCCGGUGUUUCCGAUAAUUUCCUCGUUUAACGCGUUCCCGGCGCGAGAUUACACACCGGUAUAUCGACGUCCACGCAGCGCCCCCGAUGGACACCAGCGAGAACGUAGGGGCGUAGACGGGGUAAAAUUGGAGGUAGCAAGGGUCGUAGGUAGCGGUGGUGGUGGUGAUGGAAUCGGAAGGAGGCGAGGGAGAACGAUCCGGUGUCUCUUUCCCCGGUUGUGUGCCGGGCAAAGUAAUUAAUUAGCGUAAUGAUUCGUUCGCGUAAGCUCUCGUUUCGCUCGCCUGUAACGAGUAGAGUUUCGCAAAGUUUCGCAGACUCGUCGCCGAUGUUGCUCCUCCCUCCCUCCCUCCCUCCUUCCUUCCUUCGCCUUCUCCCCUUCCGUCCCCUCUCCCUUCUUUUUCUACCCCGUCGCCCCUUUCAAAUAUUCGUAUCGAGUGAUUUUAAUGAGGAGACGCAAGUUGGCCAAACACGGGAGAAAAAAAAGAGGGAGCACAACGGGGGAGAGAGUAUACGGUUUCGCGAUAAUAGGGAGAUCGUCCUCGCCAAUUACGCCACGUCUCGAGAACGAUCAAUUAUCGACGAUUAUGAAUAAUUAAAAUCGACGGAAGCAGUGGUUUCGCGUUAAACGGGUCAUGAUUUUUUUCAAGGAUUUUUUUGUUGUUGUUGUUGUUGUUAUAGGCGUGGUAUUGCGUUCAAGAUGAUCGGAAAAGUUUAUUUUUGGAAUUGAUGUGUAAUUGGACGAGUAAGCGAUUCGAUGAGAAGCAGAUUUGGAUCGCGUUAAGCUUAUAGAUAUUAUAUUUUACGGUAUAAAAGCGGACCAUACGUCGUUAAAUGGAACGAAAAGAUUCGCUUCAUCAUUCGGCAAUACGUUAAUUUCGCGUUUCCGCUUUUAUAUCGAAUCGCAAAAUACAUACACGUCAAAGAUAAUUGACCCGAUAUUUCGGUGAAUCUUUCCAAGAGAUACAGAGAGCGAGCAGAGAUUGAUGAUCAGAAUAUAUCGCGUUAACGUUAUUACCUACACCAUCACAACUUCGCAUACGAUAAACUUAUUUACUCUAUCGAAAAUUGAUUGAUGCUCCCUCUAUCGAUGCGCGUUUUGAACUCUUAAUUUCUCAUUUUCGCGUGCCGCAAAAUUAGAUGCAAAACAAUUUUCCCCAUUCCUCGCUAAUUCCGCCAAAUCAUUAAACAAAUCGUUAAAACGAUAUUUUACGAUAUCCUCUUUUCUCUCUCUCUCUCCAAUUAUCCUCAAAUUUAUCAAUCGCCAAUUAACCGUAACCGUUUAAUACUCUUCCUUCUUUCAUCGCAUUCAUAGGAUUCAAAUACUUUAGCUAGCACUAAUGGAAAACGUCAAGCGAACAAACACGACUCGGAGAAUGAAUUUAUCGUCGGAUUUAUCCAAUAUAUCAACCGUUCCGAGUAACACCGUUCCUCUCUAAACAUCCUUACAAUAAUUUUCCACGAGCCACGCCGCGUAAAAUUCGAAUUCGAAUUUUUUUUUUUCUUUUUUUCGUUCCUUUUUUCAAAAAUCGUAUCGAAGACGUAUCGCGUCGAAACGGCGAGGGGCGGAGCCUCGAACGAAUUUAUCGCCGGUCCGGGGGUCACGAGACAAACUAAAUUGCCGAUCAUAAUACGUCGCGCGCGGUGUUCCCUCUAUAAUUCAUCGUCUCAGCGGCUCGCGUCGUAUUAAUAACCCUGUCGUCUGUAUAAACUCCGCUAACUAACUUAUAAGUCAUUCGACUCGUUUGAGCGACAAAUUCGUAACAUAAAUUUACGACCGACCCCUGACCAUCUGUCAAGCCGACGUUCCUCACCGAGGCUAAGCUCGACGAGAUUCGAAAGAUAUAUAUAUAUAUAUAUAUAUUUUAUCUACCGGUUAACAAACAGCCUUCUUCGCGCUACGUUAUUGUACGGAUUCGGUGAGCGAAUUUUGCUCUAUUUUGAUAUCGAUCGAUUAAUAACGAAAUUCGUUACGUGGGGAAGGAGAUAGAUGUAAGAAUAGAAUUUUCGAUGGAGAAUUUUAGAUAGAUUAUAUGGUUUAGAUAGAUUAAAAGUGAAAUUCAUCGUUCUAUGAUAAUAGUCGAAAUAAUAAAUUCGAAUCCAGUUUUUGGAGAAGUCUUUGGAGAUUAUGAUGCGUGGAUUAUGAUCGUUUUCUUCGCGGUUCCAAGAGGACCAUUGUGUCUCAGAGCUCUGACAGGCUUCUGUUUACUGUGGGAAAGUGAAGUGGUGCGAACGAGGAAAGAACGUUAAGGUUAAGCCCAGGAACCCAGACGCAAGAACGAGCCACGUUCCAACGAAACGAGGAGGAAAUACGUCGCAAAAUACAGGACGAAUCCAAGUAAAAACGAGCAAAGCUUUUAACCUGAUUUCAUUUCCGCUCUAGACAGAAGACCGAAAUAUCCUUGGUCGGAAGGAGAAUAAUCGGGAGAAAAAUAAUCGGGAAAAACGGGAGAACGUAGAAAACGUUGGGGGAGAAUCGUUCGACAAUCCCCUCCCCCGCGAAACGUUAAUAUUUAGUCCAUCAAUUACGAGGCAUUCGAGAUUUUCCGCGGCUCAAUGUCCCCGGAAUAACGUCUCGCCGAGAUAUAUAUUUUCCACUUCUUCCACUUCCCUUUUCCACCCUAUUUCCUUCCCCUCCCUCCCUCUCUCUCUCUCUCUGUUCCUUCAUCCUCGCAUCUCGUCUCGCAGGGAGAAAGAUCAGUUUUAAUGGAGUCAGGAGCGGGAUGGAUCCGUCUCCGGGCAUAAAGGGAAGAUCGUUCCUUCGCAUUAAUAUCACUCCACGCGGGACUUCCUCCCUCCCGCUCUCCUUCCGCUACCUUCCCGCCAUCCCACCCCCACUAUUUUUCGCAUUACGAGACUUUCCAUUUGCGGAGAUGGACAGCAGCCGGGGAACGCAAAAACGGCGUCCAUUAAGUUCGAAUACGGAAAUAUUGGAAUCUCUCGUUUGUAUCGUUUAAACCGUUUUACCUAUCUAUCUACUACCUCCUCCCUUCCACGCGAGCGCUUUAAUUCGCGAUCGAUUCGUAUCUCUGCGCGGAAUCGUUGGAAAAUCUCUUCUUCAUCGAUGGACGCGUGUCUCUUGUUAUUCCUCUUUCGUAAGGAUACGUCGUGGAUUGAAAAGUGUGAAAAAGUUUUGUAUUCAAGAAUAUUUCUCGCAAGUGAAAUUCUUGCGUUAUUUUAGAUGUGGUAAAUUUUUGUACAUUCGUGGAAAAUUUAUGUGCAAAAAUAUCUAAAAGAAAUAUAUAUAUAUAUUUCAAUAAUUUAAUUUGCAAUCAAUCAAUAACAUAUGUAUUUAUUGAACAAAAAAAUUGAACUAAUAAUUCUUCGUUGUAACCGCAUUAUGUGUUCAUCGAUACGAAUGAACGCAAAAGAAAGAAAGAACACAAACAUAAAGUCUCAAAGAGUAGUCGAUAUCGACUAAAUAUCUCUUUAAAAAAAAAUUUAAAAAAAGAAGAAAAAGAAAGAAAAAAAACGCAAAACUGCUUCAUCUCAAAAUCAAAAAAGAGAUAAAGAGAAAAAACUCUCUUUAUUCUUCGAAAUCCCAACAUCCCAUUUCCACUUUCGACCGAUUACUCCCGUGAAUGGUACAAACGACCAUCAUGAUCAAAAAGAGUCCCGCUAUUGGCAACGAUGACGCGCCGGUAAAGAUCUCGACUUUGAAAAAAAAAAAAAAAAAAGAUCGACUGAAACCGCGAGGAGGGAGGGAGAGGUUGACAAAGAGGCGCGCUUCUUCGAAAAAAAGCACGAGCGCUACAAACGGCAGUGGCCGAAGUGUGCUCUUGUUUCAAGAUUUUCCAGGGGCGGUAAACUUUUCCUCGGCUCCGAGCGGCUCGAUAUUCGCGCGCAAAUAUCGGCGGUCCCUUCUCUUUCUCUUUCUCUUUGUCCUGUUCAAAAGGAAGCUACACGGAUGAACCGUCGCCGCUGUUUAUUUCGAUUUAUUUCGAUUCCAUGGAGAGAAAUAGAGAAGAAAGAAAGAUAGAGGGAAAGAAAGGAGAGAGAGAGGAAUCUCUAUGAUUGAGAGACAAACCGUUUAAAAUGUUUGAAAUGUUUGUAAAAUGUAUCUUUGAUAUAAUAAAAAAAAAACUAUAAAAUAUGAUUCUAUUCUCGCAAUAUCAUCAUAAGAGUUUAAAUAUUUAUUUCUCUAUCGCGAAAAUAUCUUCUCGAUUUACCACCGAUUGAAAUCAGUUGUCAUUUGAUUGGAGGAGAAAGCGAGGGGAGAUGAAACACGCGUGGGCGUGAAGAGAAGAAGAAGACCAAGAGAUGCAGGUAUAAUUACGAAGAGAGAGGGACAAAGAGAAAUCGAGCGAGGAAGGAAUUAAUGAACAUCGUGUGUAAAGUGAAACCUCGUUUCAUCCUCUCUCUCUCUCUCUCUCUUUCUUUCUCGAGAUUCGAUCGAUCUCUGGAUACACGCGAUUUAAUUAGCCGAAAGCAAAUGCUACCGGUAUAUAUACGGUAUAUAUACAGAAAGAAACAUCGAUUGAUGGAAAGAUAAGAUGAAGAGAGAGAAAGAGAAGAAUCGUCUCCAGGAACAUAAUAAAGCACCGUCUCAUUGUCUCGUUCCUCUCUGUCCCUCAUUCUUCUUCUAUGCCUUCUUUCACCGUGUAUAUCUGGGACAAUACCGUGUGCCGAUUCAUCGGAAACUUUCCUGUCUCUCUCCUUCCCUUCUCCAUCCCCCCCCCCAUCCCACCCUAAAAUCCUGUAUUUCUCUUAUCCGUACAAAGAGACGGAAACUUGGCUGAAGCGAAUUCGCGUUUUCGAAUCCAUUCUCUUCGACGAGAGGGGGGGAGAUAUCUCUUUCUCCUUCUCUUCCUCGCCUCUGAUUCUUCCUUUGCUUUCUUGUCUCUCUAUCCCAUCCCAUACACUGCGACUUCGGUGGCGAAUCGCAUGCGUGCACACGCCGCCACUUCCGUCGCCCUCGCUCAGACUCUUUCUCUUGCGAUUGCUCUUGUGAAUUCGUGAAUCGUGAGGUAAAGGAAAUUGGGGACGAGGAGGAGGGGUGGAAAGAAGGUACUUGGAAGGUAGAGGAAGAAGGAUGCACUCGACCAGAAUCGAGGAUGCGGACGCUUGUUUCAGUGGAAUUGUUCCGUGUUCGUAAAUUUUUCAAAGUUUCGAUCGAUUUCGAUUCGUUAAAAUUCCCCCACCUUCCCAUUUGAACGAAUGAUAUCGGUCGCGUUUAUUAAUUAAAACAGAGAGAGAGAAAGAGAAAUCGAAAAAAAUAUCGAGUAAACGAACGCAUCGUUAUAGAUUCUCGGUCAAAGGAAGCCACAUUCUAUAUCGAUUCAAUCCGUAUUGAAUAAUUCAUCCCUUUUUACCUAUACUUCAAUCAGAUAUGGAAUCAUGCCAAAUCUGAUAUUUCCGCGGGUGUAUUUCGUUCGAAAACUUGAUGAUCGAACUCGCAUUACGGCUUGAAUCAAUCUUUACACGAUCAAAUUAUCACCAUUACGAUCGAUAAUUGAAUAAUUAUCCAACGUCGAAUAUCUUAUUAUUUCGAAAAUAGCCUCCCUCCUCCUCCCUUGUUCAUCUUCGGGAAAAUGACGAAAAAAAGAGUCGCAUUCGAGCUUCUUCCGACAAAAAAAAACCAACACCAGGUAUAUCCCCGACGAGGAAUUAACAACGAAAGAAUCCACAGAAACGACAAGCAUUCGAAAGGAACAAAGGGAGGAGAGGACGGAACGCGCAACGACCAAACUGCAAAGCGAUAAUCGCGCGGAUAAAAGGGAACAAAAGGGAAAGGGAGCGUGUUACAAAGAGAGAGAGAGAGAGAAAGAGAGACGAGCGUUCUGGUGUCGGGGAAAAAUGAUGUCCGCAAAUGGAGAAGACACUCUUGUGCUUGUCUCCGAAUAUUUUCACUCGGAAUAUUAAUUAUCACCGAUGUACACACACACACGAACAUAAUACAAGUAGAAACAAGCAUGAAUGGAAGGUAUUAAACGUCUGUUCAGAGACACGUGUCAACACGGCUCCGGUUUUCGUGUAUCCUCAGCAACAUGGACACAAUGUUGCAGUGAGGUAAGCGUACACUCGCGCACACACCGUCGCUUAUUACUUUCUUCGUUCCGUGUACGAUGUAGGCGAAACGUUACGGCCGAGGUACAGGCGCAAGGUUAUGCACAAGGUUCCGCGCACGGGUGUCACUUUGUUGGAGAGCGUGGGCGCGUGUUCAGCAUUCCUAAAGGAAUUGCCAAGGACGCGAGCGGCGAUGAUGGGAUUAACAAGUAUUCGGCGCGAGUCGCCGGUUUUCCAGUUGACGGCCAGAUAAAGGGAAUGCGAGAGAUUCCUCGCGCGAGUCGUGGCCUUCGUCGCGUUUGCGAAAAAGGGACGGGUGCGUGGGAUGGGUUACGGGAUAAAACUCGAAACCGAUCCCUCUAAAAAUGAUCGUACGAUCGUUAAUUCAGAAUUCGCAAUUUUUCAAACGAAUAUAUAUUUCGAAUUAUCGGAAUUUAAAUGUUUUAUCGAGAUGGAGAUAAUCAACGAUAAGGGAUAAUAUUCCUAAAGCGUAUGAUCUCGAGAUGAGAGAAAAACCUCAAACUCCUUCCUCUUUAAAAUUCAAAGGAAACGCGCGCGACAAUAGGCGGAACGUAAGGCGGAAUUCUGAGGAAGGAAAAAAUGCGAAGAGAAAUAGAAAACGUGGUAAGAAGAGCGAGCGGAGAGAUACAACGCGUCGAAGAAGGGAGAGGAGGGGAAGGAAAGCUCGAGGUUCCCUCCAUUUUCCGUGUAUUCCAAUAUCCUGCUCGAUCCUGUUCGAAGCGUGCACCCCGAAACCGGUAUAGAAAUAGAAGGUUUUGGAUCGAUGUACACGCGCAACGUGGCGGCGCAACUUGGCCCGGGAUCGUAAUUAUGAAGGAAUAUCGUGGAAAAGUUGGCCGACACGAGCCGAUAAAGUCUCGGGGGGAGGAGGGAGAGGAAGUUUGCGCGCAACCCUCGGACGAGAUGCAUGCGAUUUCGGCCGUGAUCCAAAGGUGUUUUCCAAAGUGGGAAAGAGGGCUCGUAGCAAGUUGAUCCUACGCAAGUUCGGGAAGAAGAGGGUGUAUAGGCACGAUUAUUUCAAGGCGAUAUUGCCCUCGAGAAAAUAUUUAAACGAUCGAUCCGUGGAUGGACGGGGAGGAGAUGGGGAGGCGAGGUUAGAUUGGAACGCGGCAAAAGCGAAAUUGUUGACGGGCGAAGGGGGAAAGUAUCGAGUAGACCCGUUUUGUCGUCUGCGAUCGAUAGCGGGGGUGGGGGUGGAAUGGAUGAUGGAAAGAGACGCGCGGAAAACGCGGCUUGUUCGAAAGUUGCAGUCGGUGCGGAUGGUGAAGUUACUUUGAAUAUCGAGCUUGGAGGAAAGGGGUUGGACUCGAUGGAUUAUUCGAUGAUUGUUUGAUUGACGAACGAAGACGCGUGUAUAUAUAAUAACGAUAAUAAUCAGAAGAAAAAGAAUUUGGAAACAGGAGUUUGCUCGUUUGACUUUAUCAUCGUAGAAUUCGAAUGAUAUCUAAAUGCAUACAUCCGGGAGAUAGGGCGAAAAUCAACAGGAAAAGGACAUGAUGCAUAGUGAUUUCUCUUAUCACUGGCGCCAAAGAAGAAAAAUUUUAUUUAUUUGACGCGGAUACGAAACGUUUCAAAAACGUCACAAGCCGUCCAUUCCAAUAAUUGCAUUAAACUUCCGCUCAAUUUUUUUUCUUCCUUUACGAAACAACGUAAAAUUUCUUGCUUCUUCCUUCAUUCCGUUCGUUGAUUAAUCGCACGAGAAAAAUCGAUAUUUUUCAAAUUCAGAAUCGUAAAACUCGAUCAUCGGACGAAACAACACGGGUCCACGAAUUUUUAAUUCGAUUCAACCGGCGCUCUUUUCAUUUCACCCGUCAACCUUUUCGCGCCAACGCGAAUUAAGAAAUCAAUCCUAUUACGACAAUCUUCCUCGACCGGUAAUUUUUUUUCCCCCCUCAUCUCCGUCCCCCAUCUCGAAUGUCGCGAUCGAGGCAAGCCGUUAAUGCGACUCGAUCAUUCGAAGAACUUUUUCUGUCGCUUCAUCCACGUCCGCCUCGCUUUCUCUUUUCCGUCUGUCGACCCUUCCCGGUCGAUACCUCCAUCGAUUAACCUCUCUUCCGUUCAAAAUAUUUUUCUCUCUUUCCAACGAGAAUACUAAAGUAAUAUCUCAUUACCCAUCGCUCGAUAAUUAGGAAAAUCGGGCUGUGUUUAAACACUUUUGUGAAUACUUCAUACGCGGUCAUAUUUCUCUUCGAGUUCGUAGCCCUCGUUAAAACCUCAAGAACGAUCGUUAUGAUAAACGCGAAAAAAAGAGAUAGAAGAGACGAAAAAAAAAAUAAAUAAAUAAAUAAAUAAAGGACCAUGAAAGGAAAUAUGAAGGGAAAAUAUGAAGGGAGAAAAGAGGGAAAGGUUCGUGAAAGGGCGAGAAUAAAUAGCGCACGCAUAUUUUUGAAAACUCAUUUAACCCCUUUGAAAAGAAAAUAAUUUUUUUACCGUCAUAUUUCUCAAGAAUCUCAAAAUAUAUAUAUAAAACACACGUCUUGUAGCCUUUUAACGAGUUAUAUAAAUUUCCUUAUCGUUGAAGCAAAAUCAAAAUCUAACAAGCCAAGAUUAAAGUAAUCUUCGCCCACUUUGGAUAUUAAAUAUUCAAUCACUUUGCUCCGUGCAUUUCGCAUGCAGGAAAAGGGGAAGAGGGGAGUUAGCUUACUCCGCAACGUGGUGGUCUUGGCAAACGGAUAAAGAGGCUUCUUUCUCAACAUUCGACGUCGAGGCGGCCUUGACCGUGAAACCGCCCCUUUGUUCCUCGACGGCACACAUAUCCUGCGAGAGAGAAGAGAAAGAGAGGGAAGGAGGGGAGGAGAGAAAGAGAGAGCCUUGAAGCGUCGUGAUCGUCAUCGCCGUGACAAGACAUCACAAUGCAUCGUUUCCAUACGCCGAGUAACAACAGCGUGGGUGGAUGCGUUGUUCGCGUGAAACGAGCUGGCUACGAGAGAUUUCAGUAUUCGACGAUCAAGAUUGCGCGACUUGCGGGGGAAAAGAAAAGGAGGAGGACAAAACUGUGUGCUCUCUCUAAUUAACGAACCAGAUUACUCCUGCCUGCGAUUUAUUUAAUGUCACCGGUUCGAUUCAAUUUCCCGUCGAAUUAAUUCGGCGUCGCUUUAAACGUACUUCAAUUAAACCUCCGCUCCCCUUUUCCUCUCCUCCUCUCUUCCUCACUUUUGAAUACUUUUUUCCCCCUCCCCUUCGAGGUUAAGAGAUUUACGUAAGGAAAAGUUUCCGAUUGACGUUGAUAAAUAAGUCGUCGAAAAGGGGGAUGAUCGAUCGUAGGUUAGUUAAAACGUAUCGAGGUACCAGGGGUUUGAUCCAAGGAAACAAUCGUCCUCGAAAGAGGACGAGGGGAGAAGUUGUGAACGUGAGAAAGUUCGAAGCGAGAAGACGGAACCGAGCUCUCUUUCGAUCGAUCUGCGAAAGUAAAAAGGAUAGAGAGAGAGAAAAGAAGAAGAAAGAAAAGGAAACAGAAAAAAAAAGAAAGAAAGGAAGAAAGAGAAAAGAAAAAUAGACGGAAGAAAGAGUUGGAAGGAAGCUGGAAACGGCGAGUAACGAGAAGAGUCUAAGAGGUGGAAAGCGUACGGGGAAAACAAACGGAGGGAGCCUUUUCCCUCCCGAUUCCGGUGACAGUCGGUCGGGCGAAAUUGCGAAUAUCGAAUUUCCCUCGAAACUUCCCCUCCCCUCUUCCCAGGGGGGAAACGAGAUCUCCUCGAGCGAGUUUUUGAACGGCAAGGGGAGGCCACGGUAAGGGAGGGGAGGAAGAGAUGGGUCAACGAGCGCGAUCAUUCGAGCACGCUGAUUAAAAAUACAUAUCGGGUCGGCGCGUUUAGGGAAUAAGAUGGCGGGUGGCGAUAAGGGCGGACGAGAAACGGGCACCGGGGUGCAAUAGGGGGUGUAACAUCUUUAUACGCAAACGGAAACAAGCGUCUCAUCCCUCUCGUUAAUGUUUGAUUCCGGGCUUUGGGCGGGAACGCUGUGUUUUUUCCCCUUUUUCCCGGGGAAUCGAACGGUGAAACUUUCAUGGAUUCUCUCCUUUUCUUGAGAUGAGACGAGGGGAGGAGGAGAAGGAAAAGGAGGAGGAAGAGGAGGAGGAGAAGGUGAUUCUCAUCAUGGAAAAUUCGAGGAAAGUUAGGAGUGGAAAUUUAGAAGACGAAAAAUCGCACACGGUGUGAAAGUUUCGUGGAUCCUUCUCUUCUUCGAUGAUUUUCAUCAAUUUUGAGGACGAGUCGAGGGAAGGAUACAUGGAGCGCCGUUUUAAAUCUGAUAAAAAAAGAAAGAGGAUUAAGAAUCGCGAAAUAGGGUCAACGAAGAAAAUUAUGAAUGAUUAGAUUCGCGAGAAAUGGGAAAUGAAUGAAUUUGAUCGAAUGGAGUCGACUUAUUAAAUUAUCGCGCAAUCUUAUAAUACGAAACAGAUUGAAUUUCCGGCGUUACUUGCGCGUAUUUUUGCGAAUGAAAGCAAAGAAUAUUACGACGCGCCGACAGAUCUGUCAAGUUAUAUCCUUCCUGUCUAUUUUUCACGUUUCAUAUUUAUCAUAUUUUUAAACAGACCGAUUAUCUUUCGAAGCACGAAAAUAUUGCUACAAAUGUUGUUGCUGCAAAGCAAGCAGGAAAUUCGUUGUUUCGACGAGAUUGGAAUUAAAAAAAAAAAAAAAAAAAAAAGAAAAAAGAAAUAGGGAGCAAAUAAAUAUCUCUCAUAUUUCAUUCGGUAAAAAUACACUGAUCACGACGGAUGGUUUUUGAUGGAAAAAAAAAACGGAAAAUAAAAUACCUCUGAAUUAUAACAGUCGAAAGAUCCGAAAACGCCAAUCGACCAUUUAUUUCCCACCAACCUAAUAAAACAAAACUGAUAAAUUUGAAAAGUUUACACGCGAAAAAAAUCAAACAAUACCGAUGUUUAAUCCAAACAUUGCACAAUUUAAAAAAAAAAAGAAAGAAAAAACGCUGUUUGAUCUGUAAGAUGUUUUUAAAAUAAAUGAAAGUAAUUAAACCUGUUUGAAGCCCGAAAACAACGAGGAGGAAUUACGAGGAGAGGGGAAAAAAGAAAGAAAGAAAGAAAAUACGAUUCGCGAAAUGAAAAAUAUUUGUCUCCCUAUUCACUGAAAUUUUUCUACUUUUCCCCGUCAAAACGUGAAAAAUGCAUAAUUCCAGCUAUCCAUGCGUGAUGCACAUUGAUACACACAUUACGCGUGAUGUAAUCUAUAAAUAAUUGUAUAACAUCGCGAUACAAUUCCAUUUCUGUCAAUUUUCUCAGUUUUAUUGAUCGUCAAUAUUUCGAAACGAAUUUACGACAAUAAGUAAUUAACAUCGUGACGAUUAUUAAUAUUUUUUGAAACGACGAAAACGUUGAAAACAACGGGGAGGAUCCCAUAUUUAAUCCAUACCAAAUAAAAAACAAAAAAAAACAACAAUUUUUAACAACACGGAUCCAUCGAAAUUUUAAAUCAACGUUUUGUCCUUUUUUUUAUAUUAAAUGAAUACGAAACCAUCCUCGAAUCCUCUUCCUCGAGGCUCGAAUUAGCACGGCGAAGCGGUCCGUACGAUUCCACGGACAAACGUCGAAUGAAUAUCGUUCGACUUUCGCCGUAACGAAAACAAACUCGCGCCGAAUACGUACUCGUCCGUACGAGUUUACAAUAUUGUGUCGUGGAAUAAUCCGUUCCGUAUAAUAUAAUAUAAACUGUUAUAAUAUAAAUGUUAUUAUCGUUCACGAUUAACGAGGCUCAACUUGUACCGAAUCAAAAAUAAAUCCGUAUCGUCGUAUUCAUUCCGAUCUCGCGGUGGGUCGUCGAAAGGGUUGAUAAACCCCCUCCUCCCCUCAUAAACGCCGUCGACGUUCAAUCGACGAAUCCUUCGACCCGACUCGCCAAUGGACUUUUUUUUUUAAAAAACUCCUUUCUUAAUCUCUCGCGAAAAGUUUCCACGCCGGGAAUAAUCGAUAAAGGUUCUCGAGAUUGUUCGGACGUGUCUUUCAUCCGGCGAGAAGUUAAGCCCUCCCCUCUCCCUCUCUUUCUCUUCUCCCCCGAUAGAAAAGACGGCGAAAUAAUUUCAUUAUCCUGAUAACGGAUCUUUGAAUAUUGGCGAACUCUCUUGAUUACUUCCACCGUUCAAUUCUCAUUUCGCUGAGUUGAUAAAUUUAACGAUGACGGGAAAAACUGGGUCGUUGAACGAUCAUCUUCUUUCUUUCUUUCUUCUUUUUUUUUUUUUUUUUUUGCUUCCCUCUCCAUCUCCUCUUACCGCCCCCUGGUUGCGUCCCUUUGCGCCCAGCUCUACCUCGAUGGAAUAACAGUGCCGAUAGCUUGGCCGGAGAGGGAGAAACAGAGAGAUAAAUCUGUUUCUACGUAUAUAUAUAUCACAGGAUUUUAUACCAUUGUGCCCCACUUUUGCGUAAAAAUCGUUCGACUUCGCCCCGGAACAAUUGAUUCAAAGCUUUUGUUCUAAACAAUCCAACGCUGAUUACGGGGCAUUCGAUGAUUACACCUGCUCGGCCUAUUGUUCCUUCCAAAGAGGUACCGAGUGUGUCUUUUCGAUAAUAAAAUCGAACGUUUUACCUUUUUUUUUUUUUUUUCCCCCUCGUAUCGAAGUUAAGAGAAGGCGGCAAGGAAAAAAUCGUGGAAAUUGUACGUUCGAAUGUUCGCGUAAGUAAGUUUAGUUUAAUUUUAUUUCCCUUUUUGUUUUAAUUAUUCCAGGUAUGUAUAGGUAAGCGAUAAAAGGAAGAAACGGAAGAAAGGAGUAUGGGAUAAGGAUUCAUUCCGUAGGAUAUCGCGUAGGGGAUGAGCGGAGUUUAAACGAGGUCGCGGCGAAGAUUAGUCUGGCGGCAGGCGUUACAGGGGAAUCCUGUUCUCGUUAAAAUAAUGAAACUCGAGGCGGUCGGGAUUUUUCGCGCGGACGAGUUGAAAAAGAACGAAAUAUUUUCGAGGGAAAAUAGGCCCGAAAAUUUCGACUAUCUACGAAAGGAAAAAAUAGGGAAAAUUAUUGACCCUCUUUCCUUCCUUAUUUUUUUACUUUUUUUUUUACAUGAAUUAAUUAGAUAUUUCGUUGAGAGUUGCACACAGGAAGAAAUACAGAGAGUUUGAUAUCACUCGCAAUAUGAAUGUAGGAAAGAAAUAAUUAUCGGUUGAUAAGUGUCACGAAUUGAGAAUAGGACGGAAAAAACGGAGAGUAAAUGUCAGGUGAACAAGUUUUAUCAAGGAAUGUAAUUUUUACUUACUUUAAUCGAUCAGGCCAGGAAACAACAUGCAACGAUUUUAAUCGUUUAUACGUCACAGAAAAGAAUAAUAACUCUACUGAUACACUAUCGGUGCACAGGCUAAAAUUAAAACGGUAUAUUGUGAGAAUAAUCAAAAGAUCUAUCAUCCUUUUAACAAUUUAUAUUUAACAAUUCCAAAUUUAAAAAUAAUUUUAUUAACCUCAAUUUUAUUGUUAAACCUCUCGUCGCAAGAUUUCUAGUAAACUCCACGCACCCUUUCGUCUCCCGAUAAUUGAUAUCAUUAUCGUCAUUAUUUGCUAAAACGCGACUAGCCAUGGUUACGAAAAGAAGGAGUGGGUGGAGGAAGGGAAAAGGAAAAUAAAAAGAGCACCUUUUCUUCCCUCGCUCCAUUGUGCUCGAGGAUAAGAGACGCGAAACAUAAAGGCGGCCUACCAGCCCCACCCCCGUGGCUUAUAAACCCGGCUUAACCUUCCACCCUCCACGCCCUAUCGUCUUCCUUCCUUCCUUCCUUCCUCCACCCCCUGCCCGUGUUGCGAAUGGAACACAAAGUAAGGUCAACGUUGGCCAGGUGACUGAUCGAAAAUUUCCUACCCGGAUAGCCACGAGAGCAAGGAUAAUUCAACGGGGCCCUCCCCCCUUCCAUGUCUGCUGGUAGCGGGAUUUUUCCCAGAAAUUGUUUCUGUGAAGUUUUUUUCUUUCUUUUUUCCAAGGAUUUUUUUUUUUUUUUUUUUUUUUCCCCUCCAAGGAUGCCGUGUUUGGGCAUCCGGUGAUUGCGUUUCGAGGCUUUGAUGUUUGCUUCUUGAACGAUACUGUAGUGGUAUUGGUUUAGGCCCGGAAUCGGAUGGAAAAUUGUCAGGGAUUAUUCGGGGAGGAGGAAAAGUUUGAUUCGUCGAUAUUCGAGGCUGGAAUCGUGGAUUUUCUGGAAGCAUUUGGGAUUGUUUUUAAUCUCGUUCGGAUAUUUAUAUUUUGCAAUGGCUUGUUUUUUUUUUUUUUAUUUCUGCAAAAGUAUGCAUUUUAAAUAAAGUUUCGCGGUAUGUGAAAAAGAAUGUGGUUACAUAAGUUUCUUUUUAAUGUGAGAAAAAAACAGAGUCGUUGAACGAGAGACACAUUCUUAACCUUUUACACGAUUGCUUAACUAGGAAUGAAUUAGUCAGGGAUAAUUUUUUUACGUUAAAAUAAAGUUGAAAUAAGAAAA